GAUGAAGAACGUAGCGAAAUGCGAUAAGUAAUGUGAAUUGCAGAAUUCAGUGAAUCAUCGAAUCUUUGAACGCACAUUGCGCCCGCUAGUAUUCUGGCGGGCAUGCCUGUCCGAGCGUCAUUUCAACCCUCAAGCCCCCGGGCUUGGUGUUGGGGAUCGGCGAGCCUCCGCGCCCGCCGUCCCCUAAAUCUAGUGGCGGUCUCGCUGUAGCUUCCUCUGCGUAGUAGCACACCUCGCACUGGGAAACAGCGCGGCCACGCCGUUGAACCCCCAACUUCUGAACGUUUGACCUCGGAUCAGGUAGGAAUACCCGCUGAACUUAAGCAUAUCAAUAAGCGGAGA
rnacentral:misc_RNA from 1 species